GAUGAACGCUGGCGGCGUGCCUAAAACAUGCAAGUCGAGCGGUAAGGCCUCUUCGGAGGUACACGAGCGGCGGACGGGUGAGUAACACGUGGGAAUCUACCCCAAACUGAGGGAUAAGCACCGGAAACGGUGUCUAAUACCGCAUAUGGUCUUCGGAUUAAAGCUUCGGCGGUUUGGGAAGAGCCCGCGUAAGAUUAGCUAGUUGGUGAGGUAAAGGCUUACCAAGGCGACAAUCUUUAGCUGGUUUGAGAGGAUGAUCAGCCACACUGGAACUGAGACACGGUCCAGACUCCUACGGGAGGCAGCAGUUAGGAAUUUUCCACAAUGGGCGCAAGCCUGAUGGAGCAACGCCGCGUGCGGGAUGAAGGUUUUCGGAUUGUAAACUGCUUUUAUGUGCGAAGAAUAUGACGGUAACACAUGAAUAAGGAUCGGCUAACUCCGUGCCAGCCGCCGCCGUAA
rnacentral:rRNA from 1 species